AACGAACGCUGGCGGCAGGCUUAAAACAUGCAAGUCGAACGGAUGUAGCAAUACAUUAGUGGCGCACGGGUGAGUAACGCGUGGGAACGUGCCCUUCAGUACGGAAUAACAUCGGGAAACUGAUGCUAAUACCGUAUAAUGUCUUCGGACCAAAGAUUUAUCGCUGAAGGAUCGGCCCGCGUUGGAUUAGGUAGUUGGUGAGGUAACGGCUCACCAAGCCGACGAUCCAUAGCUGGUCUGAGAGGAUGAUCAGCCACACUGGGACUGAGACACGGCCCAGACUCCUACGGGAGGCAGCAGUUAAGAAUCUUGCGCAAUGGGCGCAAGCCUGACGCAGCGACGCCGCGUGCGCGAUGAAGGCCUCGGUUGUAAGACGCAAUAGACAGGAAGAAGAAAGUAGACGGUAACCUGUUGAAAGACACCGGCGUAACUAACGUGCCAGCAGCCGCGGU
rnacentral:rRNA from 1 species